ACUACUGCAUUCUCAUAAGGCUAUACUUUCCCCACGCUGUUCCCAGCCAAAGACUGGACAAGUAAUGGGAUCUAAUUGAACUAAAGAGCUCCUGCACAGCAAAAGAAACUACUCACAAAAUGAACAGGCUACCUAUAGAAUGGGAGAAAAUUUUUGCAAUCUAUCCAUCUGACAAAUAUCCAGAAUCUACAGAGAACUUAAACAAAUUUCCAAGAAAAAAACCCCAUCAAAGAGUGGGUGAUGGACAUGAACAGACACAUCUCAAAAGAAGACAUUUAUGCAGCCAACAAACAUGAAAAAAGAGCUCAUCAUCACUGCUCAUUAGAAAAAUGCAAAUCAAAACCACAGUGAUAUACCAUCUCACACUGGAUAUAAAAUAUAACAUAGAGGCAGAAAAAGAUGGUGAAAUGGAAGCCUCCACUGAUCUUCCAUUUCUGCCACACUGCAACCCCUGGCAAGGACACCAAGUUAGCAACUAUGUACACAGAUAUCAGAGUACACUACUCCUGCCUGCGAAGAAUAAAGAAGUACUGAUUAUAAAACAAAGACCUAGCUGCUGCUUCUUCUUCUU
rnacentral:lncRNA from 13 species